rnacentral:rRNA from 1 species
GAUGAACGCUGGCGGCGUGCCUAAUACAUGCAAGUCGAGCGAACAGACGAGGAGCUUGCUUCUCUGACGUUAGCGGCGGACGGGUGAGUAACACGUGGAUAACCUACCUAUAAGACUGGGAUAACUUCGGGAAACCGGAGCUAAUACCGGAUAAUAUUUUGAACCGCAUGGUUCAAUAGUGAAAGACGGUCUUGCUGUCACUUAUAGAUGGAUCCGCGCUGCAUUAGCUAGUUGGUAAGGUAACGGCUUACCAAGGCAACGAUGCGUAGCCGACCUGAGAGGGUGAUCGGCCACACUGGAACUGAGACACGGUCCAGACUCUUACGGGAGGCAGCAGUAGGGAAUCUUCCGCAAUGGGCGAAAGCCUGACGGAGCAACGCCGCGUGAGUGAUGAAGGUCUUCGGAUCGUAAAACUCUGUUAUUAGGGAAGAACAAAUGUGUAAGUAACUGUGCACGUCUUGACGGUACCUAAUCAGAAAGCCACGGCUAACUACGUG